GUAUGUUUUAUUGUCACUUGCUUAUGACCUUAGAUAUGUUAUUCAUGUUAUUUGUGCAGGUUUAUUGACACUUGCUUGAGUUAUUUUAUUGCUGUUUGUUUAAUUUUCUGUUUUUGUUUUACACAUUUUACUUGAUGGUGUUAUCUCAGUGAAAGAUGAAAUAUUAAAACACAAGUGCCUUAUUUGUUAUACCAAUUGUAAUGUUUUGUCUUUUUGAAAAUGAUAUUCUCAAAUGUAUAUAACUUAAAUUAAGAAGUGUUGAAAUUAAG
rnacentral:lncRNA from 1 species